rnacentral:rRNA from 1 species
AACGAACGCUGGCGGCGUGCCUAAUACAUGCAAGUCGAACGGAGUAUGUAGCAAUAUGUACUUAGUGGCGAACGGGCGAGUAACGCGUUGGUGACCUGCCCCGAAGAGAGGGAUAACAGUUCGAAAGGAUUGCUAAUACCCCAUGUGGUCACAGGGAUUAGAUGCCUUGUGACUAAACGGAGAAUUUCGCUUCGGGAGGGACCUGCGUCCCAUCAGCUGGUUGGUAGGGUAAUGGCCUACCAAGGCUAUGACGGGUAGGGGACCUGAGAGGGUGGACCCCCCGCACUGGCACUGAAACACGGGCCAGACACCUACGGGUGGCAGCAGUAGGGAAUAUUGGUUAAUGUGUGAAAGCGCGAACCAGCAACGCCGCGUGUGCGAUGACGGCCUUCGGGUUGUAAGGCACUUUUAGAAGGGAUGAGGAAGGACAGUACCUUCUGAAUAAGCCUCGGCUAACUACGUGCCAGCCGCCGCCGUAAUAC